GCGGGCGUGGCGGAAUGGUAGACGCAUGGCACUUAAAAUGCUUGGGCCGAAAGGCCGUGCCGGUUCAAGUCCGGCCGCCCGUAC
rnacentral:tRNA from 1 species